rnacentral:lncRNA from 1 species
CAGAAAUCAGGGCAGGAAACAUACUUUACAGAAGAUACUUCAAUUUGGGACCCUCCAAACCAGAAGUGCCAAUCAACCAACAGGCUUGAUCUUGGAUGAAGACAAAAUCCAGAAUAGAAGAUCCUGAUUGGAUUCCACUUUAUAUUGGAGAUACUUCAUUGUUGCAAAUAGUCCUAAAAUGCACAGAGCCACACAGGCAGAACGUAACCAACUUAGUCUCCCUGGAACUGGUGACUGCAAUCCUGUGGGGGGCCUUGCCCCCCCCCGCUAGAACUCUUGAGUGUCUUUUACGGGCAUGUCUGGGCCUGCUGCAAGUCUACCCGGCAACAAGGAAAUAGCCCCAGUACCCUCGC